rnacentral:lncRNA from 1 species
CUUGCUUUUUCCGCCCCCAGGGCAUAUCUCCCAGUGGCAAAGGGGAGGGCGGAUAGGGCUCAGCGCGGCAGUGUGCAGAGUUCGAUUCCCCGCAAGGUGGAAUUGGCUUUGUUGCAAGCGGGAGUUACCAUAUGGGUUAACAGUAUUGGCCUAUCCAUGUGCUCUCCACCCUGGCUCCUGGGAGGCACAUCCUGCGAUUUACCUCCUCCACGAUGGCCCAGGGCAGGGUCGGUGGGGGCCCUUAAGGUUGGGGUUCAACCUUUUUUUUUUUAGUCCUUG